rnacentral:rRNA from 1 species
CUGGCUCAGGAUGAACGCUGGCGGCGUGCCUAAUACAUGCAAGUCGAACGCAUUACUUCGGUAGUGAGUGGCGAACGGGUGAGUAACACGUAGGUAACUUACCUCUAAGACGAGGAUAACGACUGGAAACGGUCGCUAAAACUGGAUAGGAUCAUUUGAGGCAUCUCGAAUGAUUUAAAGGGGCUUUCAAGCCACACUUAGAGAAAGGCCUGCGGCGCAUUAGCUAGUUGGUGGGGUAGAGGCCUACCAAGGCGAUGAUGCGUAGCCGGACUGAGAGGUCGAACGGCCACAUUGGGACUGAGACACGGCCCAAACUCCUACGGGAGGCAGCAGUAGGGAAUCUUCCGCAAUGGACGAAAGUCUGACGGAGCAACGCCGCGUGAGUGAAGAAGGUUUUUUCCGGAUCGUAAAACUCUGUUGUCAGAGAAGAACAAGUUGGAGAGUAACUGCUCCAGCCUUGACGGUAUCUGACCAGAAAGCCACGGCUAACUACGUGCCAGCCGCUGC